CAUCCUCUAACUCAUCGCUUUCUUCAAAUUUGGUGGUUGACUUGAAUGCAAUGGUCUUCUUCUUCUUUGACUCUUCUUCUUCCUUCUUUUGAUGUAUGUUCAACUCAUGUGUCAUGAGUGAAUUGAUCAACUCCUCCAUGGACAGAUUGGUGAGAUCCUUUGCUUCUUGUAUUACUAUCACUUUACCUUUUCAUGUCUUUGGC
rnacentral:lncRNA from 1 species